CUCCGCUCCUCGCUCCUUUCUUUCGGCGAGGCUGGGCCGGCCUGCAUCACCGUGACAUCACCUCCAUUCAGGGCGCUCACCGAGCGCCCGCCGAGCUCCAGGCGAGGAGCCUCUGAACCUGCUGGACGCCCACACCCCCAGACAGCUUAAAGGUGUGCACUGGCUUUGGGAACCAGUGAGGCCAGGCUGGAAAGAAUUGCUAAAAUCAGCUAGAAGUAAAGGAAGAAGAAACAGGCAAAACGCCACAGGGUUAGGGAAGGGUGAAGGGCGUCAAGGGAGAGCAGGAGUAUGGGGAAAAAUAAGAACCAAGACAUAUCAUGUAAAGGUACAAGGUCCCAAUGAAAACUGUAACUGUAUUAUUUGCUUUAAGUGUACCAGUAACUUAAUGGCGGGAUAAAAAGCACCACAGGGACACACACGGCCCUGUGAAGGGCUCUGGCCAGACGGAGCAGGGCCGCCCCUGUUUGGAGAACAGUGGACUUUGGAGGAUGAGCAGAAGGGGACCAAGGCGGGUCCAGAAUGAAGCAUUCCCGGAGGGCUACACCUGGCCAGCAGUCAUCAGACCGCUACAAGCACACCUGGAGGUUCUUUGCAUCCAAUUUUCAUAGGCGAUACUGCUCACUCAAAGCCAUUCAGGGACAUUCCUUACAACACUGGAGCAGAAAAGCCUGUGUGCGGUCUCUCUCUCACCCGGCCGGAGCACGCCAUCUCCUCCCUGCAUUGAGACUGGAAGCCUGCCAGCCCCACAGCCUGCUUUCCAGGGCCCAGGUCUGUGCUGGACUCUUCUGGAGAAAGGAAGAGUGGAGGCUGAAGACAGAAAGAGACACAGCCGAGCUGCCCGAGCUGCAUGCGGGACCUCUGCCCACCCCUCUCCUGCGGCUGCAUGAUGGUCAUCGGAAGGGCCAUGACUGGGCAGGGAGGACCUGUCACCUCCCCUCCGUGGACUCCCUCCUCUGCUGCACAGCACCAGGUGUGGCCCUUCAACCCUGGCUCAUACUCGGGGGAACUGGAGGGUGGGGUGUGAUGCAAUGGGAACCCUACGGCCCACUCAUGCAGAGGCCACAUUGGGAGGUGGUUUAUUCUGCUUCUUUUUCCCACAGAACCAAGGUGCCACCUACACCCACCUGA
rnacentral:lncRNA from 1 species